rnacentral:misc_RNA from 1 species
AGCAGCCGCGGUAAUUCCAGCUCCAAUAGCGUAUAUUAAAGUUGUUGCAGUUAAAAAGCUCGUAGUUGAAUUUCGGGAUCAGUAUGUUGGUCGUGCUUCGGUACGUACUGUCAUUACUGGUUUCUACCUUCUGAAGAACCUUGAUGUCAUUAAUUUGGUGUCUUGGGGAAUCAGGACUGUUACUUUGAAAAAAUUAGAGUGUUUAAAGCAAGCAUACGCUUGAAUACAUUAGCAUGGAAUAAUGAAAUAGGACGUUUUGAUUCUAUUUUGUUGGUUUCUAGGAUCGACGUAAUGAUUAAUAGGGAUAGUUGGGGGCAUUAGUAUUCAAUUGUCAGAGGUGAAAUUCUUGGAUUUAUUGAAGACUAACUACUGCGAAAGCAUUUGCCAAGGAUGUUUUCAUUAAUCAAGAACGAAAGUUAGGGGAUCGAAGACGAUCAGAUACCGUCGUAGUCUUAACCAUAAACUAUGCCGACUAGGGAUCGGAU